rnacentral:rRNA from 1 species
AUGGUUGGAUGAAGGAUUUACUUUCUUUAUUUUAGAAUAUAGAAAUUGAUUUUUAAAUCAAAAAGUUUAAAUAUUAUUAGAGGACGAGAAGACCCCAUAGAACUUUAUUUCCUCCAAAUAUUUAUUUACUUGUAAAUAAUUUUUAUUUAUUUUGAGGGGGAAUUUUGUUGGGGUGACAAAAAAAAUUAUAUAACUUUUUUUAUUUAUCUCAUUUAUUUAUGAUUUUUUUGAUCCUUUAUUAUGGAAGUAAGAUUAAGUUACCUUGGGGAUAACAGCGUUAUUAUUUCAGAGAGUUCAUAUUGAUGGAAUAGUUUGCGACCUCGAUGUUGGAUUAAAAUUAGUUUUAGGGGCAGAAUAUUAUUAACUAGGUCU